CUCGACUAAGUCAUAGGAAUUUCCAACCUGCGCACACCACAGUACCAACGCAGUAAUUUCAGCAUGUUGCAUCCUACACGUGUUCGGUAUGAGGAAAGUUCGUCGGAAAAUGCGUCACCUUUAAUUGUCAGCCACCCAUUAUAAAACUAGCCGACGGCGUUGAACACAGCAAGAGCCGUUACUGAAGAAGUCAUCUCGAUUGCCUAUCAAUUGACCGAUCACUGCAAGAAAUGCCUUGCUGCCUGAGAAUACAGACACUCGCCGUGGCUGUCAUCACGCUUGCCAUGCUGGCCGUGGUAUCGGGACGCCCCGGAUCAGAAGUGGACAGUAACGGAGAAGCAUCAAGCAGAGCAGACAGCGAAUGGAACCUGGGUUCUAUGGCGAAAGGGUUACAACCCUAUUGGGCUUCCAUUGUUCAAAAAAUUAUAGAAUUCGUAAAACGUCUUGCUGGAUUAUAAUUUGGAAAACAGUGAUCAACCUAUAUAAUCAUUUUUGUGCAUUGGCGUUUCCAAGGCUUUCACUCUUGCUUAGACGGAAUGAACGAAUCUGUUUUUCCUGCUGAAGAAACAAUAAAGUUGAAGCGAUUGGACCAUCGCUGUUUUAUUGGUCCUGACA